UCAAACUUGGUCAUUUAGAGGAAGUAAAAGUCGUAACAAGGUUUCCGUAGGUGAACCUGCGGAAGGAUCAUUAUUGAAUAAACUCGAUGGAUUGUUGCUGGCUUCUAGGAGCAUGUGCACGUUCAUCGUCUUUAUCUAUCCACCUGUGCAUUCUUUGUAGUCUUGGGGGUAAUGAACGUGAAAAUGUCGAGGUUCUUUUGCACCUCGGGAAGGGAGGCCUGCCACACGAGAGUUUGGCUGACCUUGUUCACGCAAGUUUCUCUGAGUCUAUGUCUUUCAUAUACUACAUACCGAAUGUCUUAGAAUGUUCUUUCUCUAGGCCUCAGUGCCUAUAAAACACAAUACAACUUUCAGCAACGGAUCUCUUGGCUCUCGCAUCGAUGAAGAACGCAGC
rnacentral:misc_RNA from 1 species